AGUGAACGCUGGCGGUAGGCCUAACACAUGCAAGUCGAACGGCAGCACAGUAAGAGCUUGCUCUUACGGGUGGCGAGUGGCGGACGGGUGAGGAAUACAUCGGAAUCUACUUUUUCGUGGGGGAUAACGUAGGGAAACUUACGCUAAUACCGCAUACGACCUACGGGUGAAAGCAGGGGAUCUUCGGACCUUGCGCGAUUGAAUGAGCCGAGGUCGGAUUAGCUAGUUGGCGGGGUAAAGGCACACCAAGGCGACGAUCCGUAGCUGGUCUGAGAGGAUGAUCAGCCACACUGGAACUGAGACACGGUCCAGACUCCUACGGGAGGCAGCAGUGGGGAAUAUUGGACAAUGGGCGCAAGCCUGAUCCAGCCAUACCGCGUGAGUGAAGAAGGCCUUCGGGUUGUAAAGCCCUUUUGUUGGGAAAGAAAAGCAGCAGGUUAAUACCCCGCUGUUCUGACGGUACCCAAAGAAUAAGCAACGGCUAACUUCGUG
rnacentral:rRNA from 1 species